AGACCAAGAGGGUUAAGUUAUAUUUUUCGGUAAAAAGAUAGUUAAACGAAAUUAGUCAGUUUAUUAAAUUUUUAUAUAGAAGUAGAAUUCGAAAAUGGAACAGAAAACCUUAUAUAACAAUCAAAAGUUGAAGCUAUGACAGCCUUGAGGGAAACUGGGAUUAGAUACCCCAUUAUUCUUGGAUAUAAACAAAUAAAAAUUUACCAGAGUACUACGAAUCUAAAAUUUAAAACUCAAAGGGCUUGGCGGUGUUUUAGACUAUUCAGGGGAACUUGUCUCAUAAUCGACAAUCCACGUUAAACCUAACCUUUAUUUUGUAAGCAGUAUGUAUACCGUCGUCGUCAGGUAACUUUUUAGAAAAAAAAAGUUAGCAAGUAAAUUGAAAUUAAUUUAAACGUCAGAUCAAGGUGCAGCCAAUAAUAAGGUAGAGAUGAGUUACAAUUAUAUAUUUAUAACUACGAAAUAAUUAUAUGAAUAAGUAAUUAUGAAGGAGGACUUGAAAGUAAAAAAAAUUAUAUAAACAUUUUGAAUUUAGCUCUGAAACGUGC
rnacentral:rRNA from 1 species